GCAAUGAAUAUGUCUUAACAUAUGGGAUCAACAAUUGUUGUAUCAAAUUCAAAAAACCACCAUUUGAAAAAUUUGACCCUGGCUAAGAUAAACAUCAGUGAACAAUAUAUUAUAAGGAAAACUCUGUACAAGAUACUAGAAAUGCUAAAAGAUGACCAAGAAGCUUUUACACAAUUCAGGCUAUUAGACAACAAUCCCUUGUAAUACAGAGAAAGACUUGGAAUAUUCUAUAAUGGAAUAGCUUAGAUUUGCAAACAUCCGUAAACAAAGGAAAAAAUCUUAAAAGCAACUGUUUGGUAAAGAUCCGGAAAGAUUAAUAAUCUGUUUAAAAG